GGCUGUCGUCUAGCUCGUGUCGUGAGAUGUUGGGUUAAGUCCCGCAACGAGCGUAACCCUCAUCCUUAGUUACCAUCAGGUAAUGCUGGGGACUUUAAGGAAACUGCUAGUGAUAAACUGGAGGAAGGUGGGGAUGAUGUCAAGUCAUCAUGGCCCUUAUGGAGUGGGCUACACACGUGCUACAAUGGUGGCUACAAUGGGCUGCAAAGUCGCGAGGCUAAGCUAAUCCCUUAAAAGCCAUCUCAGUUCGGAUUGUACUCUGCAACUCGAGUGCAUGAAGUUGGAAUCGCUAGUAAUCGUGGAUCAGCAUGCCACGGUGAAUACGUUCUCGGGUCUUGUACACACUGCCCGUCACGCCAUGGGAAUUGGUUUC
rnacentral:rRNA from 1 species